AAAAAGACAAACACUGGAUUUUCAUGCCAACGUUUGACCGUUCGUCUUAUAUGAAUUUUUUUUAUAAUUAGUAUUUUCAUUAUUGUUAGAUGAUAAAACAUGAUUAAUACUUUAUACGUGACUUAUCUUUUUAAUUUUUUUAUAAUUUUUUUAAAUAAGACGGACGGUAAAACGUUGGACACGGAAACCAGUGUUUGUCUUUUUU
rfam:Oryza nivara chromosome 2, whole genome shotgun sequence.